rnacentral:rRNA from 1 species
UACAGAGGGUGCAAGCGUUGUUCGGAAUUAUUGGGCGUAAAGGGCGCGUAGGCGGUUCGGCAAGUCUCUAGUGAAAUCUCAGGGCUCAACUCUGAGUCUGCUGGGGAAACUGCCGGGCUUGAGUGUGGGAGAGGAGAGUGGAAUUCCCGGUGUAGCGGUGAAAUGCGUAGAGAUCGGGAGGAAGGCCGGUGGCGAAGGCGGCGCUCUGUAACAUUUCUGACGCUGAGGCUCGAAAGCGUGGGGAGCAAACAGG